UCUCUCUCUCAGAAGUCAGAACACACCCCAUUCUCUACGCCUCCCCUCUCUCUCUCUCAGAACACACCCCAUUCUCCUCCUCUCUCCGCCAUCUCUCUCUCUCACCAGUCGCCUCGCCACUUCUCCAUCGUCGGCGACGAAAGCUAUGUCGCCGUCGCGGCUCCCCCUUCCCCUAUCUUGCUUCUCUCUCUGUCAAAAAGGAAAUCCCCAAAAUCCUAAACCCUUUCCUUCGAUUUCAAGGGAGAGGCAGUCGGAGCAGCGCCUUGCCGUCGCGGUACAGCAGCAGCGUCGCUCAGCCACCUUCUCUCCCGUCUCCGUGACGUCGCGACCCUCGCCAAUCGCCCCCAGAUCUGAGACUUCCGAUACCCUCGACCCUCGCCGUUCCGCCGCCCAGCCGUUUCCCAGAUCCGAGACCCUUGUAUGUAUGUAAUCGCCGCCCAGCCGUUUCCCAGAUCCGAUACCCUCGGCGCUGCUGCUUCUUCUUCUGUACAUAUUUGAUUUUGAUUCUUGAAAGUUGCUGUACAGAUUCUUGAUUUUGAUUAUUGAAAGUUGUUGUACAGAUUCUUGAUUUUGAUUUUGAUUAUUGAAAGUUGUUGUACAGAUUCUUGAUUUUGAUUUUGAUUCUUGAAAGUUGCUUACAGAUCGGGUAAUUUAGGGUACCCGAAUACCCGACUCGGGUACCCGAGUCGGGUAUUAGGGUACCCGAUUUCAAAUUCGGGGUCGGGG
rnacentral:lncRNA from 1 species